rnacentral:rRNA from 1 species
CACGUAGGGGGCGAGCGUUGUCCGGAUUUAUUGGGCGUAAAGAGCUCGUAGGCGGCUCAGUAAGUCGGGUGUGAAAACUCCAGGCUCAACCUGGAGACGCCACCUGAUACUGCUGUGGCUAGAGUCCGGUAGGGGAGCAUGGAAUUCCUGGUGUAGCGGUGAAAUGCGCAGAUAUCAGGAGGAACACCAGUGGCGAAGGCGGUGCUCUGGGCCGGAACUGACGCUGAGGAGCGAAAGCCAGGGGAGCGAACGGG